AUUGAACGCUGGCGGCAGGCCUAACAAAUGCAAGUCGAGCGGAGCGGCGGAAGGGUGAGGAAUGCCUAGGAAGCUGCCUGGUAGUGGGGGAUAACGUCCGGAAACGGGCGCUAAUACCGCAUACUAGCAGAUGAGCCGAGGUCGGAUUAGAUAGUUGGUGGGGUAAAGGCCGACCAAGUCGACGAUCCGUAACUGGUCUGAGAGGAUGAGCAGUCACACUGGACCGUAGACGCGGUCCAGACUCCUACGGGAGGCAGCAGUGGGGAAUAUUGGACAAUGGGCGAAAGCCUGAUCCAGCCAUGCCGCGUGUGUUAAGAAGGUCUUCGGAUUGUAAAGCACUUUAAGUUGGGAGGCGUUACCAACAGAAUAAGCACCGGCUAACUUCGUGCCAGCAGCCGCGGUAAUAC
rnacentral:rRNA from 1 species